UGACAAGUCGUACGAGAAUUUUUAAUUCAAGUGGCGGACGGGUGAGUAACACGUAAGAAUUUACCUUUAGGAGGGGGACAACAACUGGAAACGGUUGCUAAUACCCCAUAUGCUUUCGAGUGAAAUGGAUUUUUCCGCCUAAAGAGAAGCUUGCGGCUGAUUAGCUUGUUGGUGAGGUAAUGGCUCACCAAGGCGACGAUCAGUAUCUGGUUUGAGAGGAUGAUCAGACACACUGGAACUGAGACACGGUCCAGACUCCUACGGGAGGCAGCAGUGGGGAAUUUUCCGCAAUGGGCGAAAGCCUGACGGAGCAAUCUCGCGUGAGGGAUGACGGCCUAUGGGUUGUAAACCUCUUUUUUCAGGGAGGAAUCAAAUGACGUGUACCUGAAGAAUAAGCAUCGGCUAACUCCGUGCCAGCAGCCGCGGUAAGACGGAGGAUGCAAGUGUUAUCCGGAAUCACUGGGCGUAAAGCGUCUGUAGGUGGUUUAGUAAGUCAACUGUUAAAUCUUGAAGCUCAACUUCAAAAUCGCAGUCGAAACUAUUAGACUAGAGUAUAGUAGGGGUAAAGGGAAUUUCCAGUGGAGCGGUGAAAUGCGUAGAUAUUGGAAAGAACACCGAUGGCGAAGGCACUUUACUGGGCUACUACUGACACUCAGAGACGAAAGCUAGGGUAGCAAAUGGGAUUAGAUACCCCAGUAGUCCUAGCUGUAAACAAUGGAUACUAGAUGUUGAACAGAUCGACCUGUGCAGUAUCAAAGCUAACGCGUUAAGUAUCCCGCCUGGGAAGUA
rnacentral:rRNA from 1 species